CUUGCUUCUUUGCCGGCGAGCGGCGGACGGGUGAGUAAUGUCUGGGGAUCUGCCCGAUGGCGGGGGAUAACUACUGGAAACGGUAGCUAAUACCGCAUAACGUCGCAAGACCAAAGUGGGGGACCUUCGGGCCUCACACCAUCGGAUGAACCCAGAUGGGAUUAGCUAGUAGGUGGGGUAAUGGCUCAUCUAGGCGACGAUCCCUAGCUGGUCUGAGAGGAUGACCAGCCACACUGGAACUGAGACACGGUCCAGACUCCUACGGGAGGCAGCAGUGGGGAAUAUUGCACAAUGGGGGAAACCCUGAUGCAGCCAUGCCGCGUGUGUGAAGAAGGCCUUCGGGUUGUAAAGCACUUUCAGCGGGGAGGAAGGCGGUGGCGUUAAUAGCGCUAUCGAUUGACGUUACCCGCAGAAGAAGCACCGGCUAACUCCGUGCCAGCAGCCGCGGUAAUACGGAGGGUGCAAGCGUUAAUCGGAAUUACUGGGCGUAAAGCGUACGCAGGCGGUCUGUUAAGUCAGAUGUGAAAUCCCCGGGCUUAACCUGGGAACUGCAUUUGAAACUGGCAGGCUAGAGUCUCGUAGAGGGGGGUAGAAUUCCAGGUGUAGCAGUGAAAUGCGUAGAGAUCUGGAGGAAUACCGGUGGCGAAGGCGGCCCCCUGGACGAAGACUGACGCUCAGGUACGAAAGCGUGGGGAGCAAACAGGAUUAGAUACCCUGGUAGUCCACGCUGUAAACGAUGUCGAUUUGAAGGUUGUGGCCUUGAGCCGUGGCUUUCGGAGCUAACGCGUUAAAUCGACCGCCUGGGGAGUACGGCCGCAAGGUUAAAACUCAAAUGAAUUGACGGGGGCCCGCACAAGCGGUGGAGCAUGUGGUUUAAUUCGAUGCAACGCGAAGAACCUUACCUACUCUUGACAUCCAGAGAACUUGGCAGAGAUGCCUUGGUGCCUUCGGGAACUCUGAGACAGGUGCUGCAUGGCUGUCGUCAGCUCGUG
rnacentral:rRNA from 1 species